AAAAAAAUUAAAAAAAAAAAAACUUGAUAAGGACCAGGGACCAAUAUGGGCUUCAAAAUAUGAAAAAUAAUGAAUUUCUGCUUGUAGUUACCCGCUGAACCUUUUUUCAGGGAAAAUCGAAGUUAGAUGAAAACAGGUGAAGAUGAGAUUAUGUUCUGCUUCAGGAAAUAAAGAAAUGGGGUAUGAUUCUUUUUUUAGUUGUUUCCAUUUCCCUGAAGAAGCUGUAGUAUCCAAGAAAAGGGAAUGAUGUAAAUGCCAAUGAAGCAAAUUGUGAACUGAUUUUAGUUAACUAAAUAGUAAUUUUUAUUGCAUGGUGCUAUUGAAACUUUUCUUGGUUUAGGGUUCUCUUCUUGCCACUAUAUCUUCU
rnacentral:misc_RNA from 1 species